rnacentral:lncRNA from 1 species
CGAUCUUGUCGGUUCCGUAGUUGAUGAGAUUGGCAGCUAGGAUUCCAAUGGUCACCAUCAGUUGAAAUCCGAUGUUCAGCAUACCACGCAUCCGAGCAGGGGCCAUCUCCGAAAGAUACACCGGUACAGACUGUAGUAAUAAAAAAAAAUGUCACUACGAGCAACUCACUACUCACAGAUCUGGUAUUUCAUUUUGUCAUCUUGACUACCUGAUUUCCGAAACCAACACCGAUACCGAGCAGGAUCCGGCCGAUGAUGAGCAUGGCUACAUCUCGAGCUCCGGCGUUGAUUGAAGCUCCGACGAGAAAAGUGAAACCACCACCGAACAUGGACCACUUCCUCCCCAAAACUCUGGUGACAGUAGCC